UAUAUGAAAAAAUCGCUUUGCAAGUAGUUGGAAAUAUUGGUAUGUUGAACCUGGCUCGAAGAGAUCCAAUCAUUUCUAACACUUAAUUCCGUUCGAUAUUAUUUGAGGUGUUUUAUUUCAACUCGCGUACUAUUUUUGGCUGUUUGAGAGAAGCUGCCAAAUAGUUUAAAGAAACAAAUUGAGUGUGGUAUACCGUAUACUUUGCCUCAAAUACAACAUACAGUAUAAGCAAAUACUAGAAGUUACUAUCGCAAGGAAAGUGCUGCCAUCAUGGCGUUCUAAGUUGCCGCGAACGGCCUAUAUUCUUCACCGCAAUUCACCGCCUAAUAAACUAUUUCACCGCAUAAGAUAAGCGCGUCACGACAAUUAGCUAUAGUGUUUAAUUUGACAUAAACUUUCGUUCUCCCUCGGUGGCUUAGUGGAAGGUCGUUUGGCCUGUCUCGACAAACCUUUGAGUUCGAAUCGCGUCGAGUUAAUAUUUUCAAUAUUUUUUCCUUUUAUUUCUAUCCAGCUGUUUUUAUUCUUUUUACAUCUUUAUAUGAGAAAUCGCUUUGCAAGUAGUUGGAAAUAUUGGUAUGUUGAACCUGGCUCGAAGAGAUCCAAUCAUUUCUAACAGUUAAUUCCGUUCGAUAUUAUUU
rnacentral:lncRNA from 1 species